AGUGAACGCUGGCGGUAGGCCUAACACAUGCAAGUCGAACGGCAGCACAGUAAGAGCUUGCUCUUACGGGUGGCGGGUGGCGGACGGGUGAGGAAUACAUCGGAAUCUACUUUUUCGUGGGGGAUAACGUAGGGAAACUUACGCUAAUACCGCAUACGACCUACGGGUGAAAGCAGGGGAUCUUCGGACCUUGCGCGAUUGAAUGAGCCGGUGUCGGAUUAGCUAGUUGGCGGGGUAAAGGCCCACCAAGGCGACGAUCCGUAGCUGGUCUGAGAGGAUGAUCAGCCACACUGGAACUGAGACACGGUCCAGACUCCUACGGGAGGCAGCAGUGGGGAAUAUUGGACAAUGGGCGCAAGCCUGAUCCAGCCAUACCGCGUGGGUGAAGAAGGCCUUCGGGUUGUAAAGCCCUUUUGUUGGGAAAGAAAAGCAGCAGGUUAAUACCCCGCUGUUCUGACGGUACCCAAAGAAUAAGCACCGGCUAACUUCGUG
rnacentral:rRNA from 1 species